UACGUAGGUGGCAAGCGUUGUCCGGAUUUACUGGGCGUAAAGAGCGCGCAGGCGGUCGUUCAAGUCGCGUGUGAAAGCCCCCGGCUCAACUGGGGAGGGUCACGCGAUACUGAUCGACUCGAAGGCAGGAGAGGGAAGUGGAAUUCCCGGUGUAGUGGUGAAAUGCGUAGAUAUCGGGAGGAACACCGGUGGCGAAGGCGGCGACCUGGGUCGACACUGACGCUGAGGCGCGAAAGCGUGGGGAGCAAACAGG
rnacentral:rRNA from 1 species